AACGUAGGUGGCAAGCGUUAUCCGGAUUUACUGGGCGUAAAGGGUGUGCAGGCGGAGGCUCAAGUGGUGUGUGAAAUCGCCCGGCUCAACCGGGCGGGGUUAUGCCAGACUGAGCUUCUAGAGACCGAGAGAGGGGCGUGGAAUUCCGGGUGUAGUGGUGAAAUGCGUAGAGAUCCGGAGGAACCCCAGAGGCGAAGGCGGCGCCCUAGCUCGGUUCUGACGCUCAGACACGAAAGCAUGGGGAGCGAACGGG
rnacentral:rRNA from 1 species